rnacentral:lncRNA from 1 species
GGAUUACAGGCGUGAGCCACCGCGCCCGGCCAGAGUAUGACAUCUUUUAUGUCAAGGGACAAAACCCUGUUUCUCCCUUUGUGGGGUUACAGCACAAAGUCUGACAGCUCACAAAAAUGAACCUUCACAGAUCUAUCCAUCAAUUCUUCUCUCUCAGAAAAAUGCGGUCGCUACUAAACGGGCCCUGGACUUCAUUUCCAUGGGGAGCACUGUAUGAGUGUGCCCCUGAAACUAGUGUCCUUCUCCCUCCGUCCCUCCUCUCUUCUUUCCUUUCUCUUACUUUCUCUUUUCCUUCCUCCUCAACUGUGUAUUAAGAUCUUUUUCUGCCAGGUACAGUGCUGGAAGCGGGGAUACAGGGACAAAUAAGACACAGAUCCUGUUCCUAAAGAGGUAAUGUUCCCAUUAUAGAAGGGAAGAACAUGGACUUUGGGGCCUGAGUGUGUCAAACAAAAUUCCAGCUCCACUACUUGCCAGCCGUGUGAUCUUGACAAGUUCUUUAACCUCUCUGGGUCUCAGUUUCCUCAUGUGUGAGAUAGUCUAACACAGGAAUCUGCCUCAGAGUUGUUGUGUGGCUUACAAUGAGAGGAUUAUAUAUGUUAUGCACCUAGAAUGGUGCCAGGCACAUGAAAAUACUACAUAGGUAUUUAUUAUUAUUUGCAUACUGUAUAGUACAGUCCUGAAAGCUGCAUUCUGAUCACUUAUAUUCUCCCAAGAUAAAUCACACAGCAUGGCACAUAGUAACUUCUCAAUCCAUAAAAUCAUAAUUUGAAUGGAAAAUUCUGGAAUUAUUUUAGGUAAGCUGUUAUUUUGUUCCUCCUUGCUGAAGUGUGAAGAAUACACAAAACUAAUCUGUUACGGGAAUUUUAUGAGUAUGACAUCUUUUGUGUCGAGACAAAACAAUGAUAAAAACCUAGUAGUGAAGACAGGCUGAAAGGCUUAACUAUUGCCAUCUAAGUUGGCCUGGAAUGAAUUCUCUACCCUGGGACCCAAAAAGUGGUGAUAAGUUAUGAAUUAAACUGGACAAGACAAUCCUAGGCCUGCUGACUCUAACCGGGGAUUAGCAAUGUGCAAUAGAGUUCAGCACUCCAACUUUUCUUUCUUUCUUUUUUUUUUUUUUUUGUAUUUUUUAGACAGGGUCUCACUCUGUUGCCCAGGCUGGAGUGCAGUGGCACGAUCAUGGCAUACUGCAGCCUUGACCUCCUGGACUCAACCUCCCGAGUAGCUGGGACCACAGGUGGUUGCCACCACGCCUGGCUAAUUUAUUAUUAUUAUUAUUCUCAGAGACAGGGUCUUGCUAUGUUGCCCAGGCUGGUCUUGAACUCCUGGGCUCAAGUGAUCCUCCUGCCUUGGUGUCCCAAAGUGCUGGGAUUACAUGCAUAAGCCACUGCAUCCUGCCAGCACUUCAGCUUUCAGCAAAGGAAAAAGAAAGAACAAAUUUUAACCAAGCUUCACCAUCCUCACAAUACACAUCGUGUGUGUGAGAGUGGGGUGGUAGUGUUGGCCAGGGGGUGUGCUGGGAGCAUGAAUCUGCAGUAUCAAUUGAGGAAGCCAAUAUUUUAAGCUAUUCUUGGAUUGAGUUUUUUUUCCCAUUUCUGUUAGAGCAUUUAUUUAUUAAUUUUUUGAAGUGAGAGCAAGUUUAUUAAGAAAGUAAAAGAAUAAAAAGAAUGGCUACUCCAUAGGCAGAGCAGCCCAGACCAUUUCUUUUAAAGGUGUUAUUAGGAAUAAUUAUUACUCUCUUGGGGACUUUCUUUUUAUAAAGUUAAGUAAUCACACGUGUGUUUGAAGUAGGUCAACAAAGAGGAGUUGUCUGGUUUUGCUUUCUAAGCAACUCUGCCUGUAUUGUCAUCUACAUAACUUUUUAAUUAAAAGUCUCUUUCAAGUUCACAAAUAAGAACUGUCCCCCUGCUGCCUGAAAGCGCUGAUUUACACUGACAAAUGUCUCAAAAAGGCAUGUCACAAAUAUGGGUAGACAAAAAGAUUAUUCAUGUUCACAGGAUUUAAAGCAGGGAUGUCUAAUCUUUUGGCUUCCUUGGGCCACACUGGCAAAAUUGUCUCAGGCCACACGUAAAAUACACUAAUACUAGCAAUAGCUGAUGAGCUAAAAAAAAAUUGCAAAAAAUAUCUAAUAAUGUUUUAAGAAAGUUUACAAAUUUGUUUUGGGCUGCACUCAAAGCUGUCCUGGGCUGCACUGAUUUAAAGCUUUGAUUCAAGUGUUUCUACAAAGACAAGUGGGACUGGAACAGCCAAUAUUAUUUCAAAAGUCAUGAUAUUACUCGGGGCUUGGUAGGGCUCAGGUAACUUAUCUGAAUCAAAAAUUAAAACAGAAUGAUGCUGUGGGUGAGCCAGGCAGACUUGUGAAUGUGACCUUCUUUGGAAAAAGGAUCUUUAUAGUUGUAAUUAACUUGAGGCUCACUCCAAGUCCAGCUGCAUCAGUUACUCAUUGUGUAUCUUGGGCAAGUUUCUUUUCUGAGCCUCAGUUUCUUUGUCUACAAAUUGGAGCAAAUAAUAAAACUCUACAAUCUUCAAAUCCAAAAGUUUUGGAAACUGAUGCUCUAUUCUUUUAUUUUUUAGUUUUUUGAGAUGAAGUCUCGUUCUUGUCCCCCAGGCUGGAGUGCAAUGGCAUGAUCUCAGCUCACUGCAACCUCUGCCUCCCGGGUUCAAGCAAUUCUCCUGUCUCAGCCUCCUGAGUAGCUGGAUUACAGAGUCUUUUCUAAGGCACCAACUACUUCCUUCAAGCAGCAGCCAGAGAUCUUUGCUUAAUGGCUGAGAAACACAGAGGAGAGACCCAGAGAGAAGGAGAAGGCCGCAUGAAGAUGGAGCAGAGACUGGAGUUAUUCAGCCAAGUCAAGGAAUGCCUGGAGCACCAGAAGCCGGAAGAGGCAAGGAAGGAUCCUCCCUUAGAGCAUUUGGAAGAGUGUGGCCCUGCCAACACCUUGACUUCAAACUUCUGGCCUCCAUAACUAUGAAAUAAAUUCUUGUUGUUUUAAGCCACCAAGUUUGUGGUAACUUCUUACAGCAACCCUAGGAAAUUAACACACAGAGUGUCAGUUACCUAAACAUUGUGAGCCUCAGUUACCUUAUCUGAAAAUGGGGCUAAAACUUAGACCUACCUUUUAGGGCUGCUUUAAGGAGUAAUAGAAAUUAUACAUGGGAAUUACAUGGCACCAAGUUGUUCCUUAAUAGAGGGAAACUGUUAUGAUGGCGGAAGAGCAGUAAUGAAAUACUGAAUUCAUCCAGCAGAUGGCAGAAGAUGGAUUUGCAAACAAGAGGACUUCAUAAGGUUUGCUGCCCAGCAAUGCAGCUCCAGGCCUAAAGUAGCCUUCCUAGCUCACAGACUGAUGAGGAUUAACCCUCGCCAACUCAAGUGUGCUCUCAGCUCUGUAGAAACUAAACUAAUUCUGUUUUCCUUUGACCAUUGUACACCACAGAGGCUGGCAAUGGAGAAUAUAAAGAGUGGUGCAACAGAAAAUACCUGGGUUCUAGGCUCAGCUCUGUCACCUCAUUAGGAUUCAGUUUGCCCAUCUGUAAAGUAGUGACAAGAUGAAAUACCAAGUGUAACGUAAUUAAAGGGCUGUUGUGAUACCAAAAUAACAUAAUGUGUAAAAGUGCUAAAAACAAGAUGCCAUAAAGCACAGAAGGGGCCCAGGAGAGAUUAAUUCAUGGAGAACUUACUCGUUUUUUUGAGACAGAGUCUCACUGUGUUGCUCAGGCUGCAGUGCAGUGGCGCGAUCUCAGCUAACUGCAAUGUCUGCCUCCUGGGUUCAAGUGAUUCUUGUGCCUCAGCCUCCUGAGUAGCUGAGACUACAGGUGCACGCCACCAAGCCUGGCUAACAUUUUUUGUAUUUUUAGUAGAGAUGGGGAUUUCACCAUGUUGGCCAGGCUGUUCUCAAACUCCUGUCCUCAAGAGAUCCGCCCACCUUGGCCUCCCAAAGUGCUGGGAUUACAGGCAUGAGCCACUGUGCCUGGCCUAAUUAAUGGAUAACUUCUGCAAGAAUCCAGGGUCACGGUUGAUUUGUUUAUUCAUUUAUUCACUCAGCAAACAUUUCUUUGUGCCAGGCAUUGUGCUAGGUCCAGGGAAUACUGCUUACGUUGGAGAAGUUCGCAUUCUAGUUUGGGUGGACAAACAUGUGAUAAAGAUGUGUACAGGGCAUAGUUUUCUCUCAGCAGCUAGGGUAACAUUCCAACUCCAUGUUUUGGUUUAAGAAACACAUUUGAUUUUAUUUAAAAUAUUAUAUAUUUUCUCUUUUAUUUCUUUUCCCUAUUUACAAUAAGGCUUACUUGCAAAAUUAAGAAAUACAUUUGAGUGGGUAGUUCCCUUGGUAAAACAUUUAUAUUUCCUUCUUAAUUUCUUUGUAAAAGUCUACUCUUAAACACUACUAUUUAGAGUUAAGUGAGAAAAGAAAAUUGCAGGACAGAAUGCACAGAAAGAUCUAUUUAUCUAUCUACAUAAAAACUGGAAGAAUACACUCCCAUACUGUUAACAGUGGCUACCUCUAGGGAAAGGGUGAAGUGAUAUUUGAAAAAAUGGGGCUUUUACCUUUUCUUUUCUUUCCUUUU